GAACGGUAGUGUUUAUGCCCGGCAGGAAUCAGCGUUUUCGAGGGGUUCUCCAAGAGGGUACUGGAUCAAGACAACCUAGGGGACAGGAAUGGAGCUCUUAGAGAGAGAAUACGUCAUGGGACGCUGGCCGAAAGUACUCAUACCAGCCAGGAUAAAACCCGUGUCACCGGCAGAGUCCAUCAGACAGAGGAGCAUCCACCGAGCCCACAGCCUCCUGAGCAGUGGCCUUCCCGAUCCUCAUCCUGCUGUAAAGAUCAUCUGACCAGCCUCUGCCAACAUGCUCCGCCUCCUGGUCCUCCUGUUUGCAGUCAUGGCGCUGCCAGGUGCUGCUGGACAAUUAUUUUCCAAUUCUGAGUUAAACAUCAGCUCGUGUCCCAUCACGUAUUUUGGACAGAAGUACGAAACACUCUAUGUGAACUUUACGAGUGAAAACUUAGUGAGCUGUUUCGACGGAUUCUACGACCCUCAGACCAAAGGCAACUGUUUGGUGGGACCAAAAGUGGAGGAGGCACGGUUU